GUAAGCGCAAGUCAUCAGCUUGCGUUGACUACGUCCCUGCCCUUUGUACACACCGCCCGUCGCUACUACCGAUUGAAUGGCUCAGUGAGGCGUCCGGACUGGCCCAGGGAGGUGGGCAACUACCACCCAGGGCCGGAAAGCUCUCCAAACUCGGUCAUUUAGAGGAAGUAAAAGUCGUAACAAGGUCUCCGUUGGUGAACCAGCGGAGGGAUCAUUA
rnacentral:rRNA from 1 species